rnacentral:rRNA from 1 species
CCUACGGGAGGCAGCAGUCGAGAAUCAUUCACAAUGGGGGAAACCCUGAUGGUGCGACGCCGCGUGGGGGAAUGAAGCUCUUCGGAUUGUAAACUCCUGUCAUGUGGGAGCAAAUUAAAAAGAUAGUACCACAAGAGGAAGAGACGGCUAACUCUGUGCGAGCAGCCGCGGUAAUACAGAGGUGUCAAGCGUUGUUCGGAAUCACUGGGCGUAAAGCGUGCGUAGGCUGUUUCGUAAGUCGGGGGUGAAAGGCGCGGGCUCAACCGGCGGACGGCACAUGAUACUGCGAGACUAGAGUAAUGGAGAGGGAACCGGAAUUCUCGGUGUAGCAGUGAAAUGCGUAGAUAUCGAGAGGAACACUCGUGGCGAAGGCGGGUUACUGGACAUUAACUGACGCUGAGGCACGAAGGCCAGGGGAGCGAAAGGGAUUAGAUACCCUUGUAGUC